rnacentral:rRNA from 1 species
GUCUUUUUGAGUUAUUUUAAAAGUCUGACCUGCCCACUGAAAUUAUUUAAAUGGCCGCAGUAUUCUAACUGUGCAAAGGUAGCAUAAUCAUUAGUCUUUUAAUUGAAGGCUGGUAUGAACGGUUGGACGAGGUAUAAGCUGUUUCAUAUAAAUUUAUAAUAGAACUUUAUAUUUUAGUCAAAAAGCUAAAAUUUAAUUAAAAGACGAGAAGACCCUAUAAAUCUUUAUAUUUUAAGUUGUUUAAAUUUUUUAGAUUAAUUUUAUUUUUAUAAUUUAGAGUAUUUUGUUGGGGUGAUAUUAAAAUUUAAUGAACUUUUAGUUGUUAAAAAUCAUUAAUUUAUGAGUUAUUGAUCCAUUAAUAGUGAUUAUAAGAUUAAGUUACUUUAGGGAUAACAGCGUAAUUUUUUUGGAGAGUUCAUAUCGAUAAAAAAGUUUGCGACCUCGAUGUUGGAUUAAGAUAUAUUUUUAGGUGUAGCCGCUUAAAUAUUAAGUCUGUUCGACUUUUAAAUUCUU